rnacentral:rRNA from 1 species
UACGAAGGGGGCUAGCGUUGUUCGGAAUUACUGGGCGUAAAGCGCACGUAGGCGGGGUGUUAAGUCAGGGGUGAAAUCCUGGAGCUCAACUCCAGAACUGCCUUUGAUACUGGCAACCUAGAGACUGGAAGAGGUUAGUGGAAUUCCCAGUGUAGAGGUGAAAUUCGUAGAUAUUGGGAAGAACACCAGUGGCGAAGGCGGCUAACUGGUCCAGCACUGACGCUGUGGUGCGAAAGCGUGGGGAGCAAACAGG